AUAGUGCUCAGAGCCAUUUGAACCAUUUUUUUUGUUCUUAUCAGCUUAAUAUCUGAUACGUCCUGCAUCGCAGGACCAGAAUAUUAAACUAAUUUUUGGCUCAUGACGGAGUGCUAGGGGCUUGCUCCACCUCUGUCGCGGGUUGGCCCGGCAUUGCAGUACCGCCGGGAUCGGCCCACCUAAA